CUCGGGGACCUCCAGCCACGCCGGCUGGUCCUAGUUAGCAUCCCUAGGUCUUGGCUGCUGCCUUCUGUUCCUCUGCUCAAACACAACAGCAGUGACAGCUGGGGAGAGGCAACCUGGGCUGAGAAGCCUUUCAAGAAUGCUGAUAGCUACAGGACGACGUGGCUGUGAGACCACCUCAUGGAAAGGUCCUCUUGGGAGCUGAGAGUGUCUUGCUCCAUGGAGAUCCAAGGUCUGGGGACAGAUGCAGAAGAAGGUCCCAGCAGGUUCCUGUGAGCACGUGUGUGUGAGGAUCAGCGCACAGCCGGCACGAGUCAGUUCUCCCUCCACUGUGUGAGUCUUAGGAAGAGGAUUCAGGCAACUGUUGCUGCUGAACCAUCUUACUGGCCGGGAUCUUAGAAAGCUUUGAAUUAAAUGUGUGUCAUUCUACAGACAGACUACACUGACAAAACUAAGUGACCAGACGCGAUUUUAAUUGGGAAGCCGGUUAUAAGAGGACUGCCACAGGAAGCCAUCUACUGGGUGUUUAAAACGUAGAGGGAUAACGGGCUCCAGCUGAGCACACGCAGCGCACACACAGCAUUAAACCACGAGUGAGAAG